rnacentral:rRNA from 1 species
GGAGUUAGCCGGUGCUUCUUCUGUGAGUGAUGUCCUUCCUGCCGGUUAUUGACCCGCAGGCCUUCUUCCUCACUGAAAGUGCUUUACAACCCGAAGGCCUUCUUCACACACGCGGCAUGGCUGGAUCAGGGUUGCCCCCAUUGUCCAAUAUUCCCCACUGCUGCCUCCCGUAGGAGUCUGGGCCGUGUCUCAGUCCCAGUGUGGCUGAUCAUCCUCUCAGACCAGCUACGGAUCGUCGCCUUGGUGAGCCGUUACCUCACCAACCAGCUAAUCCGACAUAGGCUCAUCCGAUAGCGCGAGGCCCGAAGGUCCCCCGNUUUCCCCCGUAGGGCGUAUGCGGUAUUAGCCUGGGUUUCCCCAGGUUAUCCCCCACUACCGGGCAGAUUCCUAUGCAUUACUCACCCGUCCGCCGCUCGCCACCGAGGGAGCAGCUCCCCGUGCUGCCGCUCGACUUGCAUGUGUUACGGCCGUCGCCGCCACGCGUUCACUCUGAACCAACGAUACAACUUACUCGA